rnacentral:SRP_RNA from 10 species
UAAUGUCACACUUGACGACCUGCCCAGCUCAAAGCAGGGGUCGACUGCUAGUAUUGCUGUAGGGCGGUGCUAGUAGUUGUUAAAGAAUAGUUCACUGCCUCCAGGCUGGCAACAGAACAGGGCGACCUAUCGCCUCUAAUGUGGGUGGAAAACGGGUCU